UUCAGCAUGAUGAGAAGCCAUAUUGUACAAACUGCUACAUGCUUCACUUUGGUCCAAAGAUGACAAGACCAGUAAAAUCCUGGCAGAGGAACCAGAGGAACCAGACUUAAACACAACGAUGACAAACAUCCGGGAUUUGGUCAGAGCGCCUCAGUGAUCAACAAACCAAACAGGAGACCUACAGACAGUGGGAACCAUUCAUAUCAUAUUUAAAUCCUGUAUUCCGAUACUUUUAUUUAUUUGGUUAGAAAAUGACCCACAAUGCAAUGAUAUACAUUAAAUAUCGUUAUUAUUCGGGGUUGUAUGAAAUCUAUGAACUCUAUGACCUCUGUUAAUUUAAAACAUUUCUAUUGUGCGUCGGUCAUUUAUUUUCGCAUUGCACCUUGUGUUGUUUAAGAGGUAAAAAAAUAGCAACACACCUCAACGCAGAGUGAGGAUUAAAAUGUUUAUGUUGUUGAAUAGUGUAUUGAAUGUACAUGCAUUCACACAAACGUGCAUCCAUGUGUGCGCAAUAAAAAGUUGAAUAUUGAAGAUAUCCUUAAUGCAUGUUCAUAUGGUGUAUAAAGGAUUUCAAUAAAGUUUUGGAUUUGUC